rnacentral:lncRNA from 1 species
GAGGAAUCCUGACACUGAAAAUGUCAGUGGGGUUCCUGCAUCCCUGGGGAAGCAGGUGUGAAUUUAUGUACCUCUGCAUCCUCUGGGAGAAUAAAAUUACAGCAUGUCACCCUCUAUUUUCCUGAACUGCAGCAGGUGAUCUGAUAAUAUUGUAACUGGCAGAGGUGUGGAUCAGAAGAGGAGAGAAUGAGCCUUGUUUUCUUGCACUUGGGAAAAAAAACUUCUCUGAAAAACUGCAGUUUUCUGAGCCUUGCCAUGGAUUGCAGAAUGGACAUGACUUCUAGAUCCAGAAAUGUUUGGUUGAAAAUGUUCCAGACUUUUUUUAUUUCCCCCUUCAUUAAGUGAGGACACCUAACAUGUUGGUUUAGUGUGCCAGUUUAAGGAACAGAAUCAUUAGGAUUCAGCUGCAGUGCAAAGACAAUGCACUAACUUUAGCUGAGCCUCAGUCAUUAGGCACACACAGUUUUUAUUUUUCAUAGCUGUGUCUGACAUAUUCAAUUAGUUAUUUUGCCCCUGUGUGUUGGAAGCAGCAGAAAUUAGUGUAGAGCAUAAACAACAUACCUGGUAGAGUAAAAUAAGGAAAAGUUAAUGACCAUAAGUACUGGAGAAAGAAGUUUAGAUAUUCAAGGUGGUGUUCAGGGAAGAAGAAACCCUAAUUAUUAUGGAUCAAAAAAUCUCACAACUUUUAGACAGCUUUUUCCAAUGGAGCACAUGAAUACUUAGAGCCUGUGUUUUCCAAGAGAAAAUGAGUGACAUUAUUCACACAUUACCAAGGGGAAAAACAAGAGUAAAAAAUCUUCACGUUGCCAAGGCAUGGCACACACCUGUGCUGGGAACAGGGACAGCAGCCAUCCAAGGCUCACUCCUGUUUUGCUCUGUAGGUUUCAUGCCCAGGAAAACACAUUUCAGGCCUGAAGUCCUGCAGGUGAAACAAAAACCAAGGGAAGUCGCAAGUGCCAAUCAUCUUUUUAGAGGCUAAGUGUUGAACACAGCAGUCUACACAUCCAUAUUCUUGUGAUUGCCCUUAAGCUUACAGGCUUUUUAGAAGGGUGAAGAGCUUCAGAGAAGCUGGCAGCGCUCCUGACAUCAUCUGGCAGUCAUCAACGGACUGCUUUAACCACAAUAUAAUGGAGCAGCUUGGACCAUAAACAAGCUGUCUGGAUACUUACAAGUUUCUCAAAGGAAUCUUUCUUUGCAUCUGUGGACAACCUGCUGUUCUUCCAAUCUUCAGAGCACCAAAAUCAUGACAUUUUCACCAAAACUUGCCCCAGAAUCUGGCUUGAGAAAUACAAGGCCUUGCCCCACAAGGAGGGCCUGUUUCUUUUCCCCUGUACAACACACACUGGCCACAAGAACUGCAAAGCUUAUGCCUUUAGCACAUUGCCCCCAAAUCAAUGACUACAGGGAGAUGAACGAGCUUCUGACUGCUCCAACAAAGAGCCUUAUUUCCACCUGUUAAACAACAUCUCUAUCACCACAGUGCAGACAGAAGAGCAGAUAGACUAUAUUUAAAUCAAUCAAAACUUUAUUUAAAUUGAAUUCAGCAAAAAUGAAACUACAUAUGGGAAGAACUAUAUACCUAAAGAAACAAGUCUCUAACACUGCCUAUUGUCUAAGAUCCAUCUUGGUCUGUCCUGAGAAGCAGAAGCACUCAUAAAUAAACGGUAUGGUAUAGUUCUGGAGUGAGGUCCA